rnacentral:lncRNA from 1 species
AUCGGCGACGUAGACCCGGUGGAUGUGGUGGCCAAACUGAGAAAAGGGUGGUACACAGACAUUCUAACAGUUGGGCCAGCAAAGGAAGAAAAGAAAGAUGAUAAGAAAGAUGGAGGGGCUGCCAAAAAAGAUGAAGGCAAGAAAGAAGAUGAUAAGAAGAAAGCUGAUCCAGUUGCUGAACUUGUCAAAGCCUACCAAGCAUACAAUCCUCACUGACCAAGUACUACUAUGUCCAAAGUGCUGAAGAAAACCCUAAUUCCUGCGUUAUCUGUUAAUUAAUUGAUGAUUAUG